AACCUCAUCGACCAGAAGGGAUUCCUUCCGGUCGAUGAGGUGUAACAACCUCAUCGACCAGAAGGGAUUCCUUCCAGUCGAUGAGGUG
rnacentral:miRNA from 1 species